CCAGACUCCUACGGGAGGCAGCAGUGAGGAAUAUUGGUCAAUGGCCGCAGGGCUGAACCAGCCAAGUCGCGUGAGGGAUGACGGUCCUAUGGAUUGUAAACCUCUUUUGUCAGGGAGCAAAGGGCGCCACGUGUGGCGUUUUGCGAGUACCUGAAGAAAAAGCAUCGGCUAACUCCGUGCCAGCAGCCGCGGUAAUACGGAGGAUGCGAGCGUUAUCCGGAUUUAUUGGGUUUAAAGGGUGCGCAGGCGGAAUGUCAAGUCAGCGGUAAAAAUUCGGGGCUCAACCCCGUCGUGCCGUUGAAACUGAUGUUCUUGAGUGGGCGAGAAGUAUGCGGAAUGCGUGGUGUAGCGGUGAAAUGCAUAGAUAUCACGCAGAACUCCGAUUGCGAAGGCAGCAUACCGGCGCUCAACUGACGCUCAUGCACGAAAGCGUGGGUAUCGAACAGGAUUAGAUACCCCCGUAGAC
rnacentral:rRNA from 1 species